GACGAACGCUGGCGGCGUGCCUAACACAUGCAAGUCGAGCGGUAAGGCCCCUUCGGGGUACACGAGCGGCGAACGGGUGAGUAACACGUGAGCAAUCUGCCCAUCACAUCGGGAUAACUCCGGGAAACCGAAGCUAAUACCGAAUACGACCACCUCCGGCAUCGGAUGGUGGUGGAAAGUUCCGGCGGUGAUGGAUGAGCUCGCGGCCUAUCAGCUUGUUGGUGGGGUAACGGCCCACCAAGGCUUCGACGGGUAGCCGGCCUGAGAGGGUGACCGGCCACACUGGGACUGAGACACGGCCCAGACUCCUACGGGAGGCAGCAGUGGGGAAUAUUGGACAAUGGGCGAAAGCCUGAUCCAGCAACGCCGCGUGAGGGAUGACGGCCUUCGGGUUGUAAACCUCUUUCAGCAGGGACGAAGCGCAAGUGACGGUACCUGCAGAAGAAGCACCGGCCAACUACGUG
rnacentral:rRNA from 1 species